CAGUAGCCGCGGUAAUACGUAGGGUGCGAGCGUUAAUCGGAAUUACUGGGCGUAAAGCGUGCGCAGGCGGUUGUGUAAGACAGGUGUGAAAUCCCCGGGCUUAACCUGGGAACUGCAUUUGUGACUGGCGGGCUAGAGUAUGGCAGAGGGGGGUAGAAUUCCACGUGUAGCAGUGAAAUGCGUAGAGAUGUGGAGGAAUACCGAUGGCGAAGGCAGCCCCCUGGGAUAACACUGACGUUCAUGCUCGAAAGCGUGGGUAGCAAACAGGAUUAGAUACCCGCGUAGUCCCUGUCUCUUAUAC
rnacentral:rRNA from 1 species